rnacentral:rRNA from 1 species
CACGUAGGGCGCGAGCGUUGUCCGGAAUUAUUGGGCGUAAAGCGCUUGUAGGCGGUCCACCAAGUUUGGGGUGACAGUUGCCGACUUAAUCGGCAAAGUGCCUCAAAGACUGGCGGACUUGAGGGCCACAGAGGGACAUGGAACUCCAGGUGUAGUGGUGAAAUGCGUAGAUAUCUGGAAGAACACCAAAGGCGAAGGCAGUGUCCUGGGUGGUCGCUGACGCUGAGAGGCGAAAGCCAGGGGAGCGAACGGG